GAGUUUGAUCAUGGCUCAGAUUGAACGCUGGCGGCAGGCCUAACACAUGCGAGUCGAACGGUAACAGGAAGCAGCUUGCUGCUUCGCUGACGAGUGGCGGACGGGUGAGUAAUGUCUGGGAAGCUGCCUAAUGGAGGGGGAUAACUACUGGAAACGGUAGCUAAUACCGCAUAAUGUCGCAAGACCAAAGAGGGGGACCUUCGGGCCUCUUGCCAUCGGAUGUGCCCAGAUGGGAUUAGCUUGUUGGUGGGGUAACGGCUCACCAAGGCGACGAUCCCUAGCUGGUCUGAGAGGAUGACCAGCCACACUGGAACUGAGACACGGUCCAGACUCCUACGGGAGGCAGCAGUGGGGAAUAUUGCACAAUGGGCGCAAGCCUGAUGCAGCCAUGCCGCGUGUAUGAAGAAGGCCUUCGGGUUGUAAAGUACUUUCAGCGGGGAGGAAAGGAGUAAAGUUAAUACCUUUGCUCAUUGACGUUACCCGCAGAAGAAGCACCGGCUAACUCCGUGCCAGCAGCCGCGGUAAUACGGAGGGUGCAAGCGUUAAUCGGAAUUACUGGGCGUAAAGCGCACGCAGGCGGUUUGUUAAGUCAGAUGUGAAAUCCCCGGGCUCAACCCGGGAACUGCAUCUGAUACUGGCAAGCUUGAGUCUCGUAGAGGGGGGUAGAAUUCCAGGUGUAGCGGUGAAAUGCGUAGAGAUCUGGAGGAAUACCGGUGGCGAAGGCGGCCCCCUGGACGAAGACUGACGCUCAGGUGCGAAAGCGUGGGGAGCAAACAGGAUUAGAUACCCUGGUAGUCCACGCCGUAAACGAUGUCGACUUGGAGGUUGUGCCCUUGAGGCGUGGCUUCCGGAGCUAACGCGUUAAGUCGACCGCCUGGGGAGUACGGCCGCAAGGUUAAAACUCAAAUGAAUUGACGGGGGCCCGCACAAGCGGCGGAGCAUGUGGUUUAAUUCGAUGCAACGCGAAGAACCUUACCUGGUCUUGACAUCCACGGAAGUUUUCAGAGAUGAGAAUGUGCCUUCGGGAACCGUGAGACAGGUGCUGCAUGGCUGUCGUCAGCUCGUGUUGUGAAAUGUUGGGUUAAGUCCCGCAACGAGCGCAACCCUUAUCCUUUGUUGCCAGCGGUCCGGCCGGGAACUCAAAGGAGACUGCCAGUGAUAAACUGGAGGAAGGUGGGGAUGACGUCAAGUCAUCAUGGCCCUUACGACCAGGGCUACACACGUGCUACAAUGGCGCAUACAAAGAGAAGCGACCUCGCGAGAGCAAGCGGACCUCAUAAAGUGCGUCGUAGUCCGGAUUGGAGUCUGCAACUCGACUCCAUGAAGUCGGAAUCGCUAGUAAUCGUGGAUCAGAAUGCCACGGUGAAUACGUUCCCGGGCCUUGUACACACCGCCCGUCACACCAUGGGAGUGGGUUGCAAAAGAAGUAGGUAGCUUAACCUUCGGGAGGGCGCUUACCACUUUGUGAUUCAUGACUGGGGUGAAGUCGUAACAAGGUA
rnacentral:rRNA from 1 species